rnacentral:lncRNA from 10 species
CACCUGCCUUGGCCUCCCAAAGUGCUGGGAUUAGAGGUGUGAGCCACCGUGCCCGGCAUACAUGGUCUUCUUUCAGAUUCAGUCCUUGCUGUCCUUCCUGGCUUCAUCACUCAGCAUCAUCUUCCUCCUCCCACGCUGCCUGAUUCCCCCAGCCAACGGCACUGCAGGGAGCAGCUGCAGUGAAUUCCAGACCUUGCACACUUUCCAUCCCCAGGCCUCCUGUGCUCACGCUGGUCCCUCUAACCUGUACACUUUUCUCCGCCUCUUUGAUUUGUCUGCCAAGGUCUCACCUUUGAUGUGAAGUCCUUUGCCAAGUCUUCUCCAACUUCCCUUGAGUUAGGUGCUGGUAUCCCUUAGGGAAAUUUUUGACUACUCAUAACAGAGAAGUGACAACUGUGGCUUAACAAGACAGAAACUGAAUUUCUCAUGUUAAAUGAAUGUGGAAACAGAGUCCAGCGUGGUACGACAGCUUGACAGUCAUGACAGUCCUGGCUCCUUUUCUUCUUCUUUCAUAUCUGGCCACCGUGCCCGGCCCAAGCACAGACUUCUGUUCUGUGUGUCACCUCAUGGUCCAGGCUGACUGUAUCCACUCUCACCUCCACAUCACAGGCAGAGGGAGUUAGAGCCCUUCCCAUAUGGCCAUCAUCCCAAGUCUGCAGCAUCCAGCCAUAACUAGACUCCUCCUCCCAACUGGCUCUAGAAGAGGCUAGCAGCCUUCAAUGUUAACCCAAAUAAGUCAGGGUUCCCUUGUGAUGACCCUAAUGUUCACUAUCUUGGCAUCCUACCUUCUUUAUCCUGGCAUUUAUCCUCUUUCCCAGAGUUACCUUCUU